rnacentral:rRNA from 1 species
UACGGAGGGUGCGAGCGUUUGUCCGGAAUCACUGGGCGUAAAGGGCGCGUAGGUGGCGCGGAAAGUCAACGGUGAAAGUUCGGGGCUCAACCCUGAAUCGGCCGUCGAUACUGCUGCGCUUGAGCACUGUAGAGGCAGAUGGAAUUCCGGGUGUAGCGGUGGAAUGCGUAGAGAUCCGGAAGAACACCGGUGGCGAAGGCGGUCUGCUGGGCAGUAGCUGACACUGAGGCGCGACAGCGUGGGGAGCAAACAGG